rnacentral:rRNA from 1 species
AGGUAGUUGUUGGGGUAACGGCCCAACAAGCCUGUAAUCGGUACGGGUUGUGGGAGCAAGAGCCCGGAGAUGGAUUCUGAGACAUGAAUCCAGGCCCUACGGGGCGCAGCAGGCGCGAAAACUUUACAAUGCGGGAAACCGUGAUAAGGGAACCCCGAGUGCCCGUAGAAUCGGGCUGUUGAUCUGUGUAAAAAGCAGGUAAAGAAAGGGCCGGGCAAGACCGGUGCCAGCCGCCGCGGUAAUACCGGCGGCUCGAGUGGUGGCCACUAUUACUGGGCUUAAAGCGUUCGUAGCUGGGUUGUUAAGUCUCUUGGGAAAUCCACCGGCUCAACCGAUGGGCGACCAGGGGAAACUGGCAUUCUAGGGACCGGGAGAGGUGAGAGGUACUCCAGGGGUAGGAGUGAAAUCCUGUAAUCCUUGGGGGACCACCGAUGGCGAAGGCAUCUCACCAGAACGGCUCCGACAGUGAGGAACGAAAGCUGGGGGAGCAAACCGGAUUAGAUACCCGGGUAGUCCCAGCUGUAAACGAUGCGCGUUAGGUGUAUCGGUGACCACGAGUUACCGAGGUGCCGAAGGGAAACCGUGAAACGCGCC